GACGUAGGGGGCGAGCGUUGUCCGGAUUCAUUGGGCGUAAAGCGCGCGUAGGCGGCUGCGCAAGUCGGUUGUGAAAUUCCGGGGCUCAACCCCGGAACUGCGUCCGAUACUGCGUGGCUAGAGGUAGGUAGGGGAGAUCGGAAUUCCUGGUGUAGCGGUGAAAUGCGCAGAUAUCAGGAGGAGCACCGGUGGCGAAGGCGGAUCUCUGGGCCAUACCUGACGCUCAGGCGCGAGAGCUAGGGGAGCGAACAGG
rnacentral:rRNA from 1 species